GGCGGGUUAGCGUAAUGGUUAACGCGCCAGUUUCCGGUCCAGGUUAGCUGGAGAUUCCGAGUUCGAGUCUCGGGCCUGUCG